rnacentral:rRNA from 1 species
AACCUGCUUAAUAAUCGAUAAUCCACGCUAAUUUUCACUUUUAUUAAUAUUUUAUAUACCUCCAUCUUAAGAAUUUAUCUUACGAUUUUUUUCCAAAUAGAAACCUAAUAAGUUAGGUAAAGGUGUAGACUACAUAAAAGAUAAAGUGGGUUACUAUAAAUAAAAUUUAAGGAAAAAAAAAUAAAUUUUUUUUGUAAAUAGGAUUUAUAAGUAAUGUUUAAAUAAUAUUUAAACUUGAAUUUAACAACAAAUGUGC